UACGUAGGGUGCGAGCGUUAAUCGGAAUUACUGGGCGUAAAGCGUGCGCAGGCGGUUCGUCGUGUCCGAUGUGAAAGCCCCGGGCUCAACCUGGGAAUGGCAUUGGAAACUGGCGGACUCGAGUGUGGCAGAGGGGGGUGGAAUUCCGCGUGUAGCAGUGAAAUGCGUAGAGAUGCGGAGGGACACCGAUGGCGAAGGCAGCCCCCUGGGCUAACACUGACGCUCAGGCACGAAAGCGUGGGGAGCAAACAGG
rnacentral:rRNA from 1 species